rnacentral:rRNA from 1 species
UACGUAGGGGGCGAGCGUUGUCCGGAUUUACUGGGCGUAAAGCGCGCGUAGGUGGGGGUGCAAGUCCGGUGGGAAAGCCCACGGCUCAACCGUGGAAGGUCGCUGGAAACUGCACUUCUUGAGGUAGACAGAGGAGAGUGGAAUUCCCGGUGUAGCGGUGAAAUGCGUAGAGAUCGUAAGGAAGACCAAGUGGCGAAGGCGGG